rnacentral:rRNA from 1 species
AGGAUCAUUUAAGAAAUUUUAUAAUUUUGAUAUUGGAUUUUUUUGUUUUGGCAAGAGCGUGAGAGCUUUUACUGGGCAAGAAGACAAGAGAUGGAGAGUCCAGCCGGGCCUGCGCUUUAGUGCGCGGUCUUGCUAGGCUUGCAAAUUUCUUUCUUGCUAUUCCAAACAGUGAGACUUCUCUGUUUUUGUUUUAGGACAAUUUAAACCGUUUCAAUACAACACACUGUGGAGUUUUUUUACUUUUGCAACUUUUUCUUUGGGCUUCGAGCAAUCGAGCCCAGAGGUAACAAACACAAACAAUUUUUUUUUUUCAUUUAAUUUUUGUCAAAAACAAGAAUUUUCGUAACUGGAAAUUUUUAAAAUAAUUUAAAACUUUCAACAACGGAUCUCUUGGUUCUCGCAUCGAUGAAGAACGCAGCGAAAUGCGAUACGUAAUGUGAAUUGCAGAAUUCCGUGAAUCAUCGAAUCUUUGAACGCACAUUGCGCCCCUUGGUAUUCCAGGGGGCAUGCCUGUUUGAGCGUCAUUUCCUUCUCAAACAUUCUGUUUGGUAGUGAGUGAUACUCUCUGGAGUUUACUUGAAAUUGCUGGCCUUUUCAUUGGAUGUUUUUUUUCCAAAGAGAGGUUUCUCUGCGUGCUUGAGGUAUAAUGCAAGUACGGUCGUUUUUGGUUUUUCCAACUGCGGCUAAUCUUUUUUGUACUGAGCGUAUUGAAACGUUUUCGAUAAGAAGAGAGCGUCUAGGCGAACAAUGUUCUUUAAGUUUGACCUCAAAUCAGGUAGGAGUACCCGCUGAACUUUAGCAUAUCAAUAAGCGGAGGA